UACGGAGGGUGCAAACGUUGCUCGGAAUCAUUGGGCGUAAAGCGCACGUAGGCGGCUCGUUAAGUCGGAUGUGAAAGCCCCGGGCUCAACCCGGGAAGUGCAUUCGAAACUGGCGAGCUUGAAUAUGGAAGAGGGUCGCGGAAUUCCCGGUGUAGAGGUGAAAUUCGUAGAUAUCGGGAGGAACACCAGUGGCGAAGGCGGCGACCUGGGCCAAUAUUGACGCUGAGGUGCGAAAGCGGUGGGGA
rnacentral:rRNA from 1 species